AGUCGAGCGGUAGCACAGAGAGCUUGCUCUCGGGUGACGAGCGGCGGACGGGUGAGUAAUGUCUGGGAAACUGCCUGAUGGAGGGGGAUAACUACUGGAAACGGUAGCUAAUACCGCAUAACGUCGCAAGACCAAAGUGGGGGACCUUCGGGCCUCAUGCCAUCAGAUGUGCCCAGAUGGGAUUAGCUGGUAGGUGGGGUAACGGCUCACCUAGGCGACGAUCCCUAGCUGGUCUGAGAGGAUGACCAGCCACACUGGAACUGAGACACGGUCCAGACUCCUACGGGAGGCAGCAGUGGGGAAUAUUGCACAAUGGGCGCAAGCCUGAUGCAGCCAUGCCGCGUGUGUGAAGAAGGCCUUCGGGUUGUAAAGCACUUUCAGCGGGGAGGAAGGCGGUGAGGUUAAUAACCUUGUCGAUUGACGUUACCCGCAGAAAAAAGCACCGGC
rnacentral:rRNA from 1 species